GACGUAGGGGGCAAGCGUUGUCCGGAUUUAUUGGGCGUAAAGAGCGUGUAGGCGGCCAUACAGGUCAGCUGUGAAAACUCGAGGCUCAACCUCGAGACGUCGGUUGAAACCGUAUGGCUAGAGUCCGGAAGAGGAGAGUGGAAUUCCCGGUGUAGCGGUGAAAUGCGCAGAUAUCGGGAAGAACACCCAUGGCGAAGGCAGCUCUCUGGGACGGUACUGACGCUGAGACGCGAAAGCGUGGGGAGCGAACAGG
rnacentral:rRNA from 1 species